rnacentral:rRNA from 1 species
CAGUAGCCACGGUAAUACAGAGGGUGCGAGCGUUAAUCGGAUUUACUGGGCGUAAAGCGUGCGUAGGCGGCUAAUUGAGUCGGAUGUGAAAUCCCCGAGCUUAACUUGGGAAUUGCAUUCGAUACUGGUUAGCUAGAGUGUGGGAGAGGAUGGUAGAAUUCCAGGUGUAGCGGUGAAAUGCGUAGAGAUCUGGAGGAAUACCGAUGGCGAAGGCAGCCAUCUGGCCUAACACUGACGCUGAGGUACGAAAGCAUGGGGAGCAAACAGGAUUAGAGACCCCUGUAGUCCCUGUCUCUUAUAC